AAAUGCGAUAAGUAAUGUGAAUUGCAGAAUUCAGUGAAUCAUCGAAUCUUUGAACGCACUUUGCGCCCGCCAGUAUUCUGGCGGGCAUGCCUGUUCGAGCGUCAUUUCAACCAUCAAGCCCCGGGCUUGUGUUGGGGACCUGCGGCUGCCGCAGGCCCUGAAAACCAGUGGCGGGCUCGCUGUCACACCGAGCGUAGUAGAUUCUCAUCUCGCUCAGGGCGUGCUGCGGGUUCCGGCCGUAAAACAGCCUUAUUUUACCCAAGGUUGACCUCGGAUCAGGUAGGAAGACCCGCUGAACUUAAGC
rnacentral:misc_RNA from 1 species